UACGAAGGGGGCUAGCGUUGCUCGGAAUCACUGGGCGUAAAGGGCGCGUAGGCGGAUCCUUAAGUGAGAGGUGAAAGCCCAAGGCUCAACCUUGGAAUGGCCUUUGAUACUGGGGAUCUUGAGACCGGAAGAGGUCGGUGGAACUGCGAGUGUAGAGGUGAAAUUCGUAGAUAUUCGCAAGAACACCGGUGGCGAAGGCGGCCAACUGGUCCGGUUCUGACGCUGAGGCGCGAAAGCGUGGGGAGCAAACAGG
rnacentral:rRNA from 1 species